GAAUAUUGAAAUUCUCACCUACAAUGUGAUGCUAUCAAAAGAGAUUGCUGGUGAGACAGCAGCCACUGCUCCCAGGCCCGACAACAGGGGCAGCACCAAAGCUGGUCAGUGUUUCCUCCUUACAGGUCUGAAGGUGCUGCAGAGGAGGGUGCUUCCCAGAGAUCACCCCUGUGACAGACAGAUCGAUUGAAGGACCCCUGAAUGGCUGAAUUGAGAAGAACAAGCAUAUUAGGAGGCCAUACAAUGGGAGCCUCUCAGGCAGACAGACAAAGCCGUGGAAACUGCAGACUUAUUUGUAUGUUCUGGUAAACACCUUUGCUUCAUUUUCCCCGUCUCCGCCUGGACUGAGGGUCACCUCACCUCUCCUGGUGUCCAGAGCCUCCUUCAGGACAGAUGUUGCAAACCUGAGUUCUCACAAACAGCGGGGUCCAGCCCUUCUCAACACUGGAAAGCCCUUGAGCCAUCUUUGAUUUGUGUGUUUUGAUCUAAUUGCACUACUGCUUGCAAUGCUUGUUUUUAGCGGUGAGUGCUGGUUUAAUUUGUUUCUUUCUGGUCUCCCAGCCCCACUCCAGAAUUUUGGCUCCUGGAGAGGAGGGGCCCUGAACUGGCAUUUUCAGUGAAGCAUCCCAGUGCCUUGAAUCCAGUAAGCAGCCAGGUGUCUGUUGGCUUCAUGGUUUAACAACCUACCAUUUGAAGAAUCGCAGAGAUGAAUUAAAAAGAGCCCCGGAGAGGCUCCCCGAUCCAGUUGCACUUCCUGCUUAAGCAAAGUAAAGAAAAACAGGAAUGAAAACAUAACCCAAUGGGUUAGUUCCAUGCUGGCCAUUGAUGAGGUUGCAGCCACCAUCAGAAGAAGGCCAAACGGUUAGAAAGACACGGCGGUGAGGAAGAUGAGCCUCAUUAUCGACUGUCACCUGCAGCCCUGCACAGGUGCUCAGAAUCUAACACUUGAUGGCUGGUUGAGAUUCCCGGAGUCCUAAUUAGGAAUGAGGAGUCAGGCUGGCAGGACCCAGGGAAAGCAAAAAGAGAAGGCAGAGAAGCUCCAAGUCUGCCUGUCUUCGUGAUCCAGAACACGUAGUCCUGCUGCACAAGUAACUCACAAUCUUCCUGUGUCCAGCUGUCAUUAGACCCUUGGCUGAUAGAAAAAUGCAAGUUAGCACACUGCAGCCUCGGUGUCGUCAGUACUGCACGUCACUCUCUCCAGCACACCGCGGCCUCGGCGUCAUCAGCACUGCACGUCGCUCUCUCCAGCACACCGCGGCCUCGGCGUCGUCAGCACUGCACGUCGCUCUCUCCAGCACACCGCGGCCUCAGCGUCAUCAGCACUGCACGUCGCUCUCUCCAGCACACCGCGGCCUCGGCGUCGUCAGCACUGCACGUCGCUCUCUCCAGCACACCGCGGCCUCGGUGUUGUCAGUACUGCACGUCGCUCUCUCCAGCACACAGCACAAGCACCAUCCUAUCAAGUCCCCAGCAAGCCUUUGUCUCCUUGCAGUCAGCUCCUCUCUUGCUGGCCUGCCUGUUGCCUCCUUGCUGUGUAUUUUCCUACUUUCUCUAAUUUGCCUUUUUUUUUUAUUUUUGAGAUGAAAUUUUGCCUCAGCCUCCCAAGUAGCUGGGACUACAGGUGCGUUUCACCACGUCCAUCUAAUUUUUGUAUUUUUCGUAGAGACGGGUUUUCACCAUGUUGGCCAGGAUGGCCUUACCUCAAGGACCUCCUGAUCCGCCUGCCUCGGCCUCCCAAAGUGUUGGGAUUACAGGCAUGAGCCACUGCACCUGGCCUAAAUCUGCCUUUCUUAACCUACAAUUGUCUUUACCCUGAGCCGCUGGCCCCAGAUAGUCGCUGCUCACCCAUGACAAUAUUUCACCACUGAGAUCAUUUAUCCUCAAAAAAAUGAGUAGAAUGGCCACGGAAUUGUGUGCAAAGAAUGAAGGAGCAAAACAGUCUUGGAGUCUUAGGAGCAAAACAUCUGCAUUACUAAUAUCCUCCCAAGUCCACCAAGCCUCAGCUAGGAACGGUUCCCCACUUGUGAAGUGUCUGAUAAGUUCUAGUUUCCUUCCUUCCUUUCUUCCUUCCUUCCUUCCUCUCUCUCUUCUUUCUUUCUCUUUCUCUCUUUCUUUUCUUUCUCUUUACCUUUCUUUCUUUCCUUUCUUUCUAUCUUUCUUCUCUCAAUCUUUCUUUCUCUCUCUCUCUUUUUGACAGUCUCACUCUGUUGUUCAGGCUGGAGUACAGUGGCACAAUCUCAGCUCACUGCAACCUCUGCGUCCCAGGUUCAAGCAAUUCUCCUGCCUCAGCCUCCUGAGUAGCUGGGAUUACAGGCUCUCGCCACUACAUCCAGCUGAUUUUUGUAUUUUUAGUAGAGGUGGGGGUUUCCCCAAGUUGGCCAGGCUGGUCUCGAACUCCUGACCUCAGGUAAUCCGCCCACCUCAGCCUCCCAAAGUGCUUGGAUUACAAGCGUGGACCACCACACCUGGCUCAUUGAUUCAUUUAUUCAUCUGAUAGGUAUUUAUUGAACAUAAAGUGCCACAGACCGGGUGGCUUAAAUGACAGAGAUUUAUUUUCUAACAGUUCUGGAAGCCGGAAGUCUGAGAUCAAGGUGCCGGCAGGACUGCUUCCUCCAAGCCCUCUCUUUUUGGCUUGUAAGAGCUGUCUUCUCUCUGUGUCCUCACAAGGUCGCCCUCCGUGCGUGUCUGUGUCCUCAUCUCCUCUUAUUACGGAGACACCAGUCCUACUGGAUUAGCUCCCAUGCUGGUGACCUCAUUCUACCUUAAUUACCUCCAUAAAUGCCCUAUCUCCAAACACAGUCACAUUAUGACAUCCUGGGGGUUGGACUUCGACGUGUGAGUUUGGGGGGAUGCAACCCAGCCCACAAUAAACAGCAAAUACGAUUAGAGCUUCUCACAGAUACAAAGCCAUUGUCGUGCAGCUCAUGCCCUCCUCGGGGGAAGAAGCCAGUAAGUCACAGAGAUCAGUAACGCAGGUGGGGACGAAGGUGUAGAGGAGAGCCAGGCACGGAGGCCUGUUGGAGUGCGGGUGCUUUGCAAUUUUAGAAGCCGAGGUCUAGGGGAGGCCGGACUUGAAAGACGACGUCUGGGCCAAGUGCAGAGAAAGGUGGCGGAUGAGCUGGAAGGAAGCCUGGGAGAAGGCACUUUGGGCGUAGGGUUUUGAGACACAGCUGUGUUUUGCCCGUGGCACGGGAGCUCUGGGGCCGGCAUGGCCCGUGUGGCCUAGGUGGAGGUGGGAGGGGAGGCGGGAGAAGGGGUGCCCUCGAGAUCUCGGGAGGCACUGGCCACGGAGAGCCCUCGGGCUGUUACUUCUACUAUUGCCUUUUACCAGUUAAAAGCAUCCUCCCAUGCAAAGGCUUGAGAAGGAUACAGUGGACUCUGGGGACUCGGUGGGGAAGGGUGGGAAGAGGGUGAGGGAUAAAUGACUACGAAUUAGGUGCAGUGGAUACUGCUCGGGUGAUGGGUGCGCCAAAAUCUCACAAAUCACCACCAAAGAACUUACGUAAUCAAACCCCACCUGUUCCCCAAAAACCAAUGGAAAUGAAUUUUAAAAACAAAAACAAAAAGCAUCUCCUCAACAUUGUGUUCGAAGAGAGGCAGCUGCCAGGACCUCGCUGUUCCUCACCCUCGGAAGCCGUGCCUCUUCUCUGGGCCCUUGGUCUGGCAUCCCCGGCCAGUGCAGCCCCUUCAACCGUGGGGUAGGUGGCGGGCGGAGGGGCCAGCCUGGCUGCCUGGCAUCCCCAUGGUUCCUGUAAUAAAUAACAAGCCUAACUGACAAAUUUGCUGUUUUCUUAUACGACUGCCACGCACACUACAAAGUGUGAGGCAAACCGCAAGUCAUCGGCAUCACAGCAAAACAAAAACACACACACAACAGAAGAAACCACGCUGGUGAGGUCAGCAGGGUAAGUUCUGCCUUGUAGGGUUUGCUGGGAAAAAAAAAAAAAAAAAACGUGGAGAAGGAGACGUGGGGGCGGGGAGGGCUGAGGUCAGAGCCAAUAUUGAAAGAAAUCUAUUUGUGGCUGUGGGAGGGAUGGGGACGGCGGCAGGAAUUUAAAGAGGCAGAAGUUCAUUUCCUGUGAUUUAUGGGACUUUGCUGACUUUCACGCUCCGGUUCUAGGGACAGGGAGACCCUCCCUGCGGGAGCCGCUGCUAGAGGGAAAGGCAGCGUUGGAUCGGAUGCCGGCCCCAGCCUGGGAGACGUGCUUCCUCUGCAGCCUGUGAUCAGGAGCGAAGUGUAGAGACCAGAAUCGUUCAGAGGCAGGGCUGGUCCCUGUUGAUUUAUGACUCAGGCAAACAGUCCAUUCAUCCGUCAGCGGCUCCACUUCUAUCCUCAGCUUACUGGAGGCAGAAGAAUGUCCCCUGGAAGUGGUCUGAGCUGCUUCCUGUGGUGGCCCCAUUCCUCCGGGUGGGGGAUCCUAUUUUUAGAGGGCCACCAUUGCCAUGAAGGUCCAGCCGGCUCAUCGGCACCGUGCGGCAUGGUGGGACGCAGUACUGAAAUUCGAGGGGGAGCUAGGCAUUCAUAGCUGUUUCUUACAAACAAGAAAGGCACUGAUUCUGAGGCUCCAUUUCCUCCUCUGUAGGUGGAAGAUAGAGGAGGCUAUACAGGGAGGCUCAGCUGUGCCUGACACACAACAGAGAUUCUCCAGGAACAGGACAUGAAUGAAUACAAAAUCAAAUAGGUGAUUUCCCUCUUCCUCCAGCAGACAAACCCAGAAUAGCAAAGAUCACUUCCAUGCGCGUCCGUGUGAGGAGACCACACAACAGGCUUUGUGUGAGCAAUAAAGCUGUUUAUUUCA
ensembl:lncRNA LINC02188 long intergenic non-protein coding RNA 2188